rnacentral:RNase_P_RNA from 1 species
GCGGAGGGCCGGAUGGCCGCGGGCGGGCGACCGCUCGAGGAAAGUCCGGACUCCCUGAAGCCACGGUGCCGGGUAACGCCCGGGCGGAGCGAUCCGACGGACAGCGCCACAGAAAUGAAACUACCCUUGUCCGCAGGGGAAAAGGUGAAACGGUGGGGUAAGAGCCCACCGCGCGACGGGCAACCGGAGCGGCACGGCAAGCCCCACCGGGAGCAAUGCCGAAUAGGGAUGCCGCGGGGGCGACCCCGGGGGCCGGCUUCGCCCCCAGGCAUCCGGGUUGGCAGCUUGAGGCGCGGGGGCAACCCCGCGUCCAGAGGAAUGGCCAUCCAGAGGGGGGCGACCCCCUUGGACAGAAUCCGGCUUACAGGCCCUCCGCGCAA